UGCCAGCCGCCGCGGUAAUACGUAGGUGGCGAGCGUUGUCCGGAUUUACUGGGCGUAAAGAGCGCGCAGGCGGCCAUGUAAGUCGAAUGUGAAAGCCCCCGGCUCAACUGGGGAAGGUCAUUCGAUACUGCUUGGCUAGAGGACGGUAGAGGAAAGUGGAAUUCCCGGUGUAGUGGUGAAAUGCGUAGAUAUCGGGAGGAACACCAGUGGCGAAAGCGACUUUCUGGCCCGUUCCUGACACUAAGACGCGAAAGCUAGGGUAGCAAACGGGAUUAGAUA
rnacentral:rRNA from 1 species